UUUUUUUUUUUCUGAAUACCUAAGACUUUGUUUUUAUGGGUCUUGUGCAUAAAGCCCCACCCAGAAGCUUUUCAGUGUAGGGGUAAGAGUAAAUUUUCAAACAUUAAAUUUUAAAAGAGCUUACUCACUAAUGGCAGUGGCAUUUGCUCAAGUAACUUCUAUUCUGUUAGGCUUAAAGGCACUAGAAUGACCAUGGUUUCUUAAGUGAUUGGAACUCGUUCUGUGAAUGAGUCUGUGGUUGCCAAAUUAGAUUAGAUGCAUCAUAGCAGACAUUCCUGAUAUCUCAGUACUUUGGAAGUGAAAGUUCUAAAGGAGGAGAAUCAAUUCUUGCCUACAGUUCAAUGUACUUGGGCCAAGUUACUAAUUUAUGGAAUUAUGGGAAAUUAUGUCGAUUAAAUUAGAAAACAGAAAGCAAGUUGAUCACAAAUUUUAGUUGUGAAAUUAAAAUUUCAGAAGUGAACAAAUUAAGCCUGAUUAAAGACAUUUAGCACACUGAUAAAUACCCAGGAUUUCCUUUUCAAACAUGAAGUCAAAAUAGAAGUUUCGUCAGCAAAGAGCACUUUUCCAUUGUUGAAACAUCUUCCUCUCAAACUCCAAGUUGAAUGAUGUGUUUGAUAUUGAGGCAUACUUCAGCCUGGAAAAGCUCCGAAGGUCCUUUUACAUUGUCAGUGGUGACAAUAGUAGUGAAUCUGAUGGCAGUGAGCAGCAGUGGCCUGAAGAGCUCUGGUAUUUAAUUACAACUUGCUUGCUCACGCUCUUUGUAGAUUUCACCAAAUUUCUUCUAAGUGCUGCUUAUGGGUUUUGCUGUUUUGCAUGGCUGGCUUAAUGAAUAGAUACUGGGUUAGGCUGUGUUUACUCAAGCCCAAAACAACUCACGAAACUGACAAAUCUCACAAGCAGUCAAUUUGAUGAAAACUAGUUUUCUUGUUUGUUGACAUAGAAACAAAAUCAUUUGGCUGAUAACGUUUUUGUAUUCUCAGAGAACCGUUUUGGCGCUUGGGAGGGCCAUUGUUUCCCAACUGUUUGGGUGGAGACAUAGGCUCCAAAUUCACUCUUCACCACCCCCCCCCCCCAAAGCAGGAAGACUUAGAAAGAACCAGUCUUCCAUGUGCAUUCUAGUCCAAUCUUAUUCAUCCAGAUGUCUGGGUGGGCUAGGCUUCACUGUACAUAAUACUCAGUACGCUUUCCCUAAGCAUCUCCCCACUCAGUUUCUUAAACUCCAUGAGGAAGUCCAGGGAAAUUGAAAGCUCUGUCUCAAUGCUUAUUUUCAAAGUUCUAGUAUUGGUUGGGAAGCAAUGGUGUAGACACAGCCUCAUUCCAAGACUGAUUUAUCAGUCCUUGAGUAAUGAUCGAUACCAAAGAAAAAUGUGUCUAACUCACAGUAUUCUAGGUGGGAGAAUAAAUUAUCUGUGUAACAUUUUAGUCACACUUUAGAGGAAUGUAAAUUACAUAGUAAAAAAAUGGCUUAUAAUUUUUUUUAAGCUAGCUGUAACAUUUGGCAAACAAUAUACUCUUUCUUGCCUUUAAGAACAAACAGAUUCUUAAAGACAGCCAUUUUGAUACACAAUUCAGAAUCAGUCUCCAAAAUUUGUGCAGAAAUUGUUUGGAAACAUUGAAGAAUCAAAAUCACUACAUUUGAAUCCAAACUCUUUAAAAAUCAAGUGGGAUUUAAUUUGCAGUUUCUUUUGCCAAAUGUCUGUAGGUUGGUCCAACUUUGGGUAUCGUUUUGCCAGGUUUUCGCCUGCUGAAAAUGCCUGUGCUCUGUUUGGCUUCUCAGUCCUUGUCAUUGGCCAAGUGUGCACCUUGAGUGGUCCAUGAAGGCAUGUGAGCAGGUGAAGACAGCAGCCCUACUAACUGCAUCCUUCCCUGUUGCCUUUGCAGUGCCCAAUGAGUUUGUCUGAUGCCUGUAGACAUGAUUGCUCUCUACCGUUUUUCUAACCAUCCUUUCCCUGGGAUUUAGGAAUGGAAAUCUCCCGGAGAGACAACAGUGCAUGAGUUUGCUUCCCAUUCCCCUCCCCUCCCUUCCCCUGCCCUGCCCUGUUUAAUCUUGUACAAAUGUUGACAAUUUUAAGUAGUCACUUAAAAUAGAUUCUCACUUUAGUCUCUCUCUCUCUCUCUCUCUCUCUCUCUCCCUCUCCCUCUUUCUUUCCUUUCUAAAUAAAGCCUGAGAAUUUGCUUUUAGCUAGCAAGUCCAAAGGAGCAGCUGUGAAGCUGGCAGACUUCGGCUUAGCCAUAGAAGUUCAAGGCGACCAGCAGGCAUGGUUUGGUUUUGCUGGCACACCUGGGUAUCUUUCUCCAGAAGUCCUGCGUAAAGAUCCUUAUGGAAAACCAGUGGAUAUGUGGGCAUGCGGUAAGAAAUCAUAUUUUCAGGCAGAUUUUGUAAUGGACCAGUGUCUUCAUCAAUUUGGGCUGCAAUAACAAAAUACCAAAGACUGACUGGCUUAAAAAACUGAAAAGUAUUUUUAAUGAUCCUAGAAGCUGGAAAGCCUAAAGUCAUGGUACCUAUAGAUUUACUGUCCAGACAGAGUAUACAUCUGGACACGUCCAGAGACGUAUACUCUGUCUGGACACAUAGAUGCCUGUCUUCUGUUUUGAGUUCACCCGUGGUGAAGAGUCUUUAUCCGAGGGCAUCAUAAUCUGAGCCCUGAACAUUUUUUACCACUGAAGGCUUCACUUCUAAUUUCAUCACAGUGAGGUUAAUGAUGUCACCAUGUCAAGUGGGGGAAGGGCACAAAUAUUCUAUAGUAAGCAGUGUUGUUAGACUUGAACUCAGAACCUUUCAAACCUUAGUCUCCCCAAAGAUUCCUAGAGAGGGAGGUAAAGUAUAGCUCAUGGUUUUGAUUAGGGCUGGAGUGGGCAAGUUGACAUUUCCAGUAGUGUUCUGGUGACACCAGUGCUUUCUUUUAGAAUACUGAGAACGCAGGUAUGGCGAGCCUUAUGGGGUUGUACACUCACACCACUGAGCCAGCCAGUUCUAACAAAAACUGUUUGCCUAGGACACUUGGCAGGAAUUCCAAGAAUGAGAGUAAAUCUUGAAAAUAAUGAUGGAGUAGAGUCUGACUCCAGCCUUAAUCUGUCAACCC
rnacentral:lncRNA from 1 species